UUCAGCCUCAUUGCGUAAGUCGAAAAUUAGGCUAAAUUAUACGACUCGACAACAUUGCCAUUGCCUACUGUCGUGCUAAAAUAAGUAAACGACGAAAAUCGUCGAAAACUGUGUAGUGCUGCCAAGUUUUUCCGUUAUAAUACACUAGUCGAGUCGAAAUUUUACACAAUGACAUGAAAUUUUCGAUACGAUUCGACUCUCGAAAAACGACUUGCAUUCGACACGACUCUCACAAUGAGGCUUAUUAUUCAUAAUUGUAAUAAAAAUACCCCAUUAUUGGUGUGAGAAUUGGAGUAAAGUAAACUUCGAAGGACCUGAGUUUGAUCCCGAUGUCCGAGCAACAUCUAAAUUAGAAAGUAUCUUCUAAUAGCGGUCACCCCUCAACAGGGCAAACCUCAGAGUGUACAGGAUGGCUCAUAUACAGCCCAAUUCUUAAUAUUCCCGGGGAGUUUGUUCUCCGGGCCUGAUAGUGUUUUAUUUUUUUAAUCAUAUGCCAUUCCAUUUUGGCAGUGACAUCUCUAUCUCUUGACAGAAAGUUAGUAUCAUAGCUCCACGGAAUGAAAUGUUUUGCUUUACGCUUGCACAACGUUGGGACAUAAUGUAGACUCAUUUCCAAACGCAGGCCGCGAAUAUUAGGUUAGCCUGUUAGCAACAAGAUAUUUCACGCACCAGCCUAAUGCGAAUUUUGCGCAUUAUUCGCUGACAAGGUACAAUUGAAUCAGUAAUAAGAGGCACACAACCAACCGCUUCGUUAUAACUGCCACAUCUGGGGAAAGGAAAAAACGCACGUGAUCGUCGAGAAGCCAUUGAAUCCUCGGCGGGUAACAGUUUGAUGCAGAUUUGUUGAGGACAUGGACUUGGACUCAAUUGGCUACCAAGAUCUUGGAAAACUGGGUUAACAAAGGGAAAGAAAGGUCCCCAUUUGUGCUAAAACAUCAAGACGCACACCACAAAUUGGAGGAGAAUCUCGGCCAAACACUUAGUAAAAGUAUAAGUGCCAAAUUAGUACAUGAUUAUUAUAACUAAUUUUAUUUUAUUAUAACUCGAUACAGUUUAAGGGCCGUUUGUGCAAUAUCUGGUUAUCACUACUUCCCAGUUAAAAAUCAUUAUCGACGCUUUAACGAGAACGUUCUGGACGUUAUGUCACAGGUAUUUUUUAAUGCCCACAUUUUUCAUUAAAAUUUGUGUAAUUUAAUGCCUAGUGAAAAUCCGGCAUUACUUUGCUGUGUCGUAGACAAGAAACACAGCGGUUAUUUUUUGGUAUGCGUGAUACAAAAGCCAUAUAUUUUAAAGCAGCAGUUCUUUCGAGUUAAAAUGGGUAAGAUUAUUAUAUUAUUAUUGGAUUGUAUGUCUUGCUCUAAACACUGUGAGGAGUGAGGACGUAGAGGGUAGUUUCCAAAGGAAAUUUUUCUUUUACUUCGAAUGUAUAAUUAUCAUAGUUUGCUUAAGCCUACUACAAGGGCGGUAGCGAGCAUUCACUAGUAAUAUAGACGGGGUUCCCUAGUAAUAUAGUAAUACGGAUAAAUAUUAGAAAAAGGGAAGCUUCACUUCAGCAGCGUUUGGGAUCGAUCCACACACAACUUUUUCUUUGCACUCAAAUUAUUAAGACUUUUAAUUAUAUUUAUAUUUACAUGUUUCCAAGGAAGGUAGAUAACAAAGAAGAUAUAAAAGCUAAGGUUUUCAUAAAAUUCAUAAUUAAGUUCUGGCCCAGAACAUAGGGAUUUUUUUUAAAUGUAAAAUAUUUGAAAGCAUUGGAUCAUGCAAUUUACAAAAUAUAUUUGCUAAAAUAAUACGAUCUUUCUUAAACUCUUCGUGUCUGGCUUACUGUUUUGGAACUAUGCAAGGCUUUAUGUAUUUAAUUUUGAUUCAUCGGUGGAAAAUAACAUUUGCUAAAUUCGAAACCGAUCAUUUUUCGCAAGUUUUUGCUCACCGCAGACGUUGUUAAUUCAUUCUGGGAAUGAGUAUUGAGUCUUGUAAUGGGCGUUGCACUUGAAAUCCCAUGUUAUUGAAGAUUGUCUGCUUGAAUGGAUCGGGAAUUUUAUUUUAUUUCAGAUGCAGCGCAGAAGUUAGGGCUUGUUUGAGGUUCGCAAUAAAAGCAGCAACACUGCAGCACUGAUUAAAGUUUGCAACACUGUUGCAACUGCUCAAGUGAUAAAACUUUGCUAGAAAUGCACACAAAACAUUAAAGUAUCACGCGAAAAUGCGCUUGAGAUUGCCACUCGAACAAGUCCAUACAGUUUACAAUUCCAAUAUGUUGGAAACGGUCAGAUAUAACUAUCCAUUUAAUUUAGUGCCUGUAACGAUUUGAAGAAUCUCUCUGUCGACCGGGGGUUUCCGUAAUAAACUUUUAAAAUUCAUGUAAUUCCCUAUCCAAGCUUGCCACUUUAACAUACUAUUUUUAUUCAAAGCCAUAAUUUUCGGUUUCUUUUUAAGAACUUUGUUCAACUCACUCAUAUAAAAUUAAACAAAAAAUCGAAGCGUCUGCUUACAAUGAUAAAACAAUCCAGAAAUUUAGGUAAUUAUUUUGAAAUAUAAAAGAGAAAAUGUAAGAUUUGCAAGUAGGUGGAUUUUUUUUUUUUUUUUGUCGACGAGUGUAGGUGAUACAGAA